CCUACGGGUGGCAGCAGUGAGGAAUAUUGGUCAAUGGGCGUAAGCCUGAACCAGCCAAGUCGCGUGAGGGAUGAAGGUUCUAUGGAUCGUAAACCUCUUUUAUCAGGGAAUAAAGUGUGGGACGUGUCCUGUUGUGUAUGUUACUUAUGAAUAAGGAUCGGCUAACUCCGUGCCAGCAGACGCGGUAAUACGGAGGAUCCGAGCGUUACCCGGAUUGAUUGGGUUUAAAGGGUGCGUAGGCGGCCUUUUAGGUCAGCGGUGAAAGUCUGUGGCUAAACCAUAGCAUUGCCGUUGAAACUGGGAGGCUUGAGUAGGUUUGAGGCAGGCGGAAUGCGUGGUGUAGCGGUGAAAGGCUUAGAUAUCACGCAGAACCCCGAUUGCGAAGGCAGCCUGCCAAGCCAUGACUGACGCUGAUGCACGAAAGCGUGGGGAUCAAACAGGAUUAGAUACCCCUGUAGUC
rnacentral:rRNA from 1 species